UGGGGAAUAUUGCACAAUGGGCGCAAGCCUGAUGCAGCCAUGCCGCGUGUAUGAAGAAGGCCUUCGGGUUGUAAAGUACUUUCAGCGGGGAGGAAGGGAGUAAAGUUAAUACCUUUGCUCAUUGACGUUACCCGCAGAAGAAGCACCGGCUAACUCCGUGCCAGCAGCCGCGGUAAUACGGAGGGUGCAAGCGUUAAUCGGAAUUACUGGGCGUAAAGCGCACGCAGGCGGUUUGUUAAGUCAGAUGUGAAAUCCCCGGGCUCAACCUGGGAACUGCAUCUGAUACUGGGAAGCUUGAGUCUCGUAGAGGGGGGUAGAAUUCCAGGGGUAGCGGUGAAAUGCGUAGAGAUCUGGGGGAAUACCGGUGGCGAAGGCGGCCCCCUGGACGAAGACUGACGCUCAGGUGCGAAAGCGUGGGGAGCAAACAGG
rnacentral:rRNA from 1 species